CGCGCAGGCGGGUUUGUAAGUCAGAGGUGAAAUCCUACAGCUCAACUGUAGAACUGCCUUUGAUACUGCAAGCCUUGAGUUCGGAAGAGAGAGAUGGAAUUCCAGGUGUAGUGGUGAAAUACGUAGAUAUCUGGAAGAACACCAGUGGCGAAGGCGAUCUCUUGGUCCGUAACUGACGCUGGGGCGCGAAAGCGUGGGGAGCGAACAGGAUUAGAUACCCUGGUAGUCC
rnacentral:rRNA from 1 species